UACGUAGGGGGCUAGCGUUGUCCGGAAUCAUUGGGCGUAAAGCGCGCGUAGGCGGCCCGGUAAGUCCGUUGUGAAAGUCAAAGGCUCAACCUUUGAAUGCCGAUGGAUACUGCCGGGCUCGAGUCCGGAAGAGGCGAGUGGAAUUCCUGGUGUAGCGGUGAAAUGCGCAGAUAUCAGGAGGAACACCGAUUGCGAAGGCAGCUCGCUGGGACGUCACUGACGCUGAGACGCGAAAGCGUGGGGAGCAAACAGG
rnacentral:rRNA from 1 species